UACGUAGGUGGCGAGCGUUGUCCGGAAUCAUUGGGCGUAAAGAGCGUGUAGGCGGCCCGGUAAGUCCGCUGUGAAAGUCGGGGGCUCAACCCUCGGAUGCCGGUGGAUACUGUCGGGCUUGAGUACGGAAGAGGCGAGUGGAAUUCCUGGUGUAGCGGUGAAAUGCGCAGAUAUCAGGAGGAACACCGGUGGCGAAGGCGGGUCUCUGGGCCGAUACUGACGCUGAGGAGCGAAAGCGUGGGGAGCAAACAGG
rnacentral:rRNA from 1 species